rnacentral:rRNA from 1 species
AUGCACAAAACUUCGAAAGCCACAAAACCUGGGCGGAAAUCAUGGACUACACGUUGGUCAAUAUUGUGCAGGCAACCAGUUGCCACAAUCGAACACAAUAAGCAUCACGGGAGCCUCCUCGUCGUCGGCGAUUCUCCGGCGCCUUUGUCUGGUCAUCUCUGGCUCCUGCCGUGCUCUCUGGUGCUCCUUUGCCUCAUGGAUGGCGCUCCCAUGCCUCGGACGCACGCCCCCUCUCCCCCGAGCUCCAGAUGGGAAGCAGCGGUCCCCCCUCUCCCCCGAGCUCGGGAUCCAUUGCAGCAACGGCAAGAUCGACCCGCGACACCGAUGAUUGGUCGGAGUAUGCAUAUCUUUGGACCCUUCCUCCUUGCGGGCCUCUCCACUAAAGACUGGGAGGCAAGAACCAGCGCCACCGCCAUGUCUGUUGGUGAUGCUCACGCUGGAAACCAGAGUUUGUUGGGUAUGCUUCCAGGAACAUGGGCUUAUGUUAGUGCUGGUGCAUUUGGGAGAUCUAUAAUUGCUGCAAAGAAUCUUGUAGCUGUGGCGGCGGUGACACUUUCAGUUCCUGCUUUCAGGGCACCUACUACAAAUAUACCUUCUGGAUCAGGCAAUGGGGGGAAAGUAAUGGAUACUGGCUACCCAACUGAGCCAACUGCUCCCUUGGUUGAUAAGGCGAAGAAAGCAUGGUGGAUGGCGAAGAGUGGGGGAAGUGGACCUGUCUCUUUGGUUGAAAAAAGGAAAGGAAGUGAGGGGCGUUGGGGGAAAACACAAAUGAGAACGAGCAGCUCUAGAUUUCCUGUGCUCACAUAG